GAAUGAAGUAGCGGGGUCAGGCAUAGCUUUUGAAUGACAACCAGUAUAAUGGAAUACAAAUGAGAGUUUGAAUUGGACCAAGAUGGUGUGUCUCUGCUGCAGGUCUUGAAGCUGGUCACAGAUCAGCGUAACCACCCAGCUGUGGCGCUGAUGUCAGAGGGGCACCCGCUGGUGAUCAGCUCUGAUGACCCCUCCAUGUCUGGUGCCAGCGAUCUCUCUGAGGAUUUCUACGAGGCGUUCGUGGGAUUUGGAGGACUGAGCAACCAUUUGGGCACUUUAAAAGAGCUUGCCAUGAACUCCAUUAGGUGUCUACGACCUCCCCCCACCGUCAGCAGUGGAACUUGAAUAUGAUGAUAACGAUGCGCUUGUACUCCUUCCUGAAGUUGCUGUUGAGCGCACCGUACACCACGGCGUUGAGGCAGCUGUUAAAAUACGCCAUGAAGUAGCUGGCUACAAACAGCCACUCGGGGACGGCCGGUCCCAGUCUGGGGUCCAACGCCACCGCCAGCCCGAUCAGGUUGAUGGGCGCCCAGCACACGGCAAACAGCGCGAACACCACCAACAUGGUGAGAAAGCCGCGGACGUCGUACGUCUUGAUCUUGGGCCGCGCGCCGGGCUUGACCCGUCGCCUCGCCCGGAUGACCAGGAUCCAGAUUCGCAGGUAGGAGUAGGAGGCGACAGAGAUGGGCAGGAUGAAGUGCACCAGCACCACCGCCACGGUGUACAGGGGGCUGACGGACUGGGCGAAGGUGCAGGAGUAGACGCGCGGGUCGUACCGCAGCGACUCCAUGAACCAGUUGGGCGCGAUGGCCAGGACGGUGAGCGCCCACACCAGCGGCAUGUAGCACACGGUGUUGCUGCCGGAGUACACGGUGUCGUACUGGAGGCUGUGGCAGAUGUGGCAGUAGCGGUUGAUGGCGAUGCCGGCGAUGUUGAAGAUGGAGCCGAUGACGCUGAGGCCCAUCAGGAAGCCGCUGAUCUGGCACUGGAGGUAGCCGGCGACCCAGCCGUCGUUGAAGAUGGCCGCGAGCACCAGGGGGUAGGGGUAGACGGCCACCAGCAGGUCGGCCAGCGCCAGGCUCACCACAAAGGCGUUUCCUGGAAACACAGAUACAGAGAGAGGGACAGGGAGCUGGUAAGAGGGCUUGGUAGGAUAAAACAACGCAAAUUGAAUAGAUCAGAAUUAAAUACAACGGAACUCAACGUAAUAGAGCACAACAGAACACAUGAGAAUAGGCUAGAAUAAAACGGAAACAAUAAUAGUGCAAUUUAAAGCGUUGUUUCAUUAAAGACAAUACAGAGAGAGAGUUCAUGAGAGAGAGCAGACCGAGAAACGGGAUGUACUAAAAGAAAGUAAUCAAGUCAGCGUUUCCCCUCGAUUUUUUUGUAGCAGUGGUGCUGUGAGUUGGUAACCUAGCAACGCUAGGGGGGUCCUGGGGCAUGCCCCCCUUGAAACAAUUUGUGAAAAAUAACCCUUUAAAUAGUUACUUCUGGUGAGAUUUUUUGGGGAAAAAUUUACAGUUUGAGCUUCCAAAUAUGACAUAACAUCCAACAGAGUGAAGGUAUCGGCUUUGUAUCUUUCUUUUUUUUGUUGCAAUUACUAUUUUUUUUUGCAGUGCCGCUGCAGGGGAAACACUGCAAGUAUUCAAUAGAUAAACAUGUUACAUUAUGUCUUUGUGUGUCUGUGCAUAGUGUGUGUACCAUCUACCAUCUGCCUGGAAGGCACUAGACUCCCAGACAGUCACUCCUUCCAAAAUCCUUACCGAACAGUUCUAUGUUAAACCCUGCAGUUCUAUGUUAAAUCAAAGGCCAGGGACAGUUUCAUGCGGCAAAUUGAUUUACACUGACGUAUUGCACUUCCUGGGUGCCAUUUUGAAUGUGAGUAUAACAUCUACUUUCUAACUCUCAAGUCAAGUCAAUUAUAUUUGUACAGCCCUAACACAAAGGCCAAGCGGUGGCACGGACCAAAAAGGACUUGGCGAUUGGAGGUUAGCGAUGACAGCAAGCGGCUGUUUCUAUUUCCGACCCUCUUGUUGUUUGUCGUUGGUUUUUAUUCAAAAUAAAAAAAAUAUUCAUAAACAUUUAUAAGUAGCCUAGUCUAGAUAGACACAGUCCUUCGGGCAAGAGAAUAAACAACAACCUGUUUACCACCUCAGGUGUAUUAACCUAUCCUAUCCCCAGUCAGAUCUGUGCCCGCGUGUGUGUGCGUGUGUGUGUGUGUGUGUGUGUGUGUGUGUGUGUGUGUGUGUGUGUGUGUGUGUGUGUGUGUGUGUGUGUGUGUGUGUGUGUGUGUGUGUGUGUGUGUGUGUGUGUAUAUGUGUAAGGUCUGCCUUACUUGUAUUCAUUUGCAAUAACUUGAAUGGAACUUUAGACAUUUGGAGAUAAGCAGCAUAGCAGUCAGGUAGCUAUUUAAAGCUAUAGUAAACCGCGUAUUUCGUUUAUUUAGAUGAAGCAUUAUGAAAUAGUUUGCAUGCACAAUAAAGCAUACACAUAAAUCAAACCUCGGCCUGGACGGACCCGAGGUUUCAUCCAGGACGGAAUAUACUACCGUCAUCCACCAGCCGGCGACGGAGAGCGCCCGUUGAACCCCAAUCAGCGAGAUGGGAGACACCUGGCUGGACAGCCAGGAAGACAUUUUAAAAGGAGCAUGAGGACUGGCAUUUAGGAGGAACGGGAGCGAGAGAGAAGGAAGCGCUCGGGUCUGCGAGCGACUAGAGGCUCACGGAGGGCCCAAGAGACUGUAAGUAUAAUCUGUGUAAGAUGUAUGCAAUAAAUGCCUAGUGCGACUUAAACCUUGCUUAAUGUGUGAUUCGUACCUGGAACCCGGCUCAUUGGGGGAGCGGGGUACCACAGUAUCUAAAAUGAUGUAUACCUAUGGUGUGUGCGUGUACAUAAAUAUGGUUUUUAUCUAUCGUGUGUGUGUGCAUAUGGUUUGUAUCUAUAUGUUGUGUGCAGUGGCGGCUGGUAGUUUUUAAAGUGAGGGAGGAAGGACCGCACGCUUGGUUGACAUGGGCCUGCUUGCACUGUUGGUGUAUGGUGGCAUAAGAAUGUGAGACUGAAGUUGUUUCAGGGUGUUUUGGUGAACUACAAAAUAGUAGGGAGGGAUAGUUAUGUGAAUAAAUUAGAUACAAAGCCACCAGUGGCAUCACUGUAAUUUGAAAGCUGGUGGGCAGCAUGUCUUUGAAAUGGACUACAAGGGCAGAAGGAAAGGAUGCAAAGCCCAUUAGUCAAAUCAGGCCUACUCUUGAUUUGCAAAAGUAAAUAAAAAAAUUUGGAUCUAUUUUUGCCCUCAAUGAAUGAAGUUAUUGGUUGUAAUUUAGCUAUGUUUAUUUUCAGGUACAAUUGAUUUAAAAAAAGACUGACAAAGUGAUGCCAGUUAAAAUUCCAUCAUGCUCUGAAUCAUUCACUCUUUCCACACCAUUUCCACAAUAUGAAACAGAACGGUCAGAGUAGCAAACUAGUAAAAGAACGAGAACAUUAUUCUAGAUUCAACCUGAUCUAUAGGCAUGGUGCCUAGCAAGGAAAGUCGCAUAGCAGCACCAACGUGAACUUGAAACUAGUUGCAGCGUUUGGUUGCCCUAUUCACAUCAGGGAUACCAUGAACAGCCCACGUUGGUGAUUUGCCAUUAUUCAUUAGCAAACAGGGCCAGCAAUACAGUCGAUUGCUAGUAAUGCUACCAGUAAGCCAUGAGUACCUAGCAAACCAUGUAGCACCCACAACACUGACGUUGCCAUUACUUGUGGUGAUCUCGAUUUUGCGAAGUGGUCAACCUUUUUCUUUGGUCGCUAACUUAGCACUGUAACUCAAUGAAUGGAAUGCUUUGUGUAAUUAAACAUGAACAAUGUCCUCUGUUUCCAAUUUUCCAUUGUACACCUUAUUCGCAAAUGUUAGAAUCUCGUUAUCCUUGA
ensembl:lncRNA